GCCCAGAUGGCGGAAUUGGUAGACGCGCUAGACUCAAAAUCUGGUUCUCGCAAGGGAGUGCAGGUUCGAUUCCUGUUCUGGGCACAA
rnacentral:tRNA from 1 species